GAUGAACGCUGGCGGCGUGCCUAAUACAUGCAAGUCGAGCGAACAGACGAGGAGCUUGCUCCUCUGACGUUAGCGGCGGACGGGUGAGUAACACGUGGAUAACCUACCUAUAAGACUGGGAUAACUUCGGGAAACCGGAGCUAAUACCGGAUAAUAUAUUGAACCGCAUGGUUCAAUAGUGAAAGACGGUUUUGCUGUCACUUAUAGAUGGAUCCGCGCCGCAUUAGCUAGUUGGUAAGGUAACGGCUUACCAAGGCAACGAUGCGUAGCCGACCUGAGAGGGUGAUCGGCCACACUGGAACAGAGACACGGUCCAGACUCCUACGGGAGGCAGCAGUAGGGAAUCUUCCGCAAUGGGCGAAAGCCUGACGGAGCAACGCCGCGUGAGCGAUGAAGGUCUUCGGAUCGUAAAACUCUGUUAUUAGGGAAGAACAAAUGUGUAAGUAACUAUGCACGUCUUGACGGUACCUAAUCAGAAAGCCACGGCUAACUACGUG
rnacentral:rRNA from 1 species